rnacentral:lncRNA from 7 species
CCUUUUAAGCAAAAAUCACCCCUUUUCUCUUCAAAAACCCCCAUUUAAGGAAAAUCACCCCUUUCUCUUCGAAAACUUCCCAUUUUACCCCAAAAUCACGCAUUUCUCCUCGAAAACCCCCCAUUUAAGGGUAAAUCAUGCAUUUUCUCUUCGAAAAUCCAACAUUUAGCUAAAAAAUCACGCAUUUAAGCGAAAAUCACCCGUUUUCUCUUCAAAAUCCCCAUUUAACCCGAAAAUCACCCAUUUUCUCUUCAAAAUCCCCCAUUUAAUCCAAAAAUCACCCAUUUUCCCUUCAAAAAUCCCCAAUUAUUUGGAAAAUCACGCAUUUUCUCCUCAAAAACCCCCCAUUUAAGGGUAAAUCAUGCAUUUUCUCCUCAAAAAUCCCCCAUUUAACAAAAAAAAAUCACGCAUUUAAGCAGAAUCACCCAUUUUCUCUUCAAAAAUCCCCCAUUUUACCCCAAAAUCACGCAUUUUCCCUCGAAAAUCCCCCAAAGGGUAAAUCAUGCAUUUUCCUUCGAAAAUCAACAUUUAGCUAAAAAAUCACGCAUUUAAGCGAAAAUCACCUGUUUUCUCUUUCAAAAUCUCCCCUUAAACCCCAAAAUCUCCCCAGUUUCCC